GGAUCAGGUAGGGAUACCCGCUGAACUUAAGCAUAUCAAUAGCCGGGAGGAA
rnacentral:rRNA from 2 species